AUUGAACGCUGGCGGCAGGCCUAACACAUGCAAGUCGAGCGGAUGAGAGGAGCUUGCUUCUCGAUUCAGCGGCGGACGGGUGAGUAAUGCCUAGGAAUCUGCCUGAUAGUGGGGGACAACGUUUCGAAAGGAACGCUAAUACCGCAUACGUCCUACGGGAGAAAGCAGGGGACCUUCGGGCCUCGCGCUAUCAGAUGAGCCUAGGUCGGAUUAGCUAGUUGGUGAGGUAAUGGCUCACCAAGGCGACGAUCCGUAACUGGUCUGAGAGGAUGAUCAGUCACACUGGAACUGAGACACGGUCCAGACUCCUACGGGAGGCAGCAGUGGGGAAUAUUGGACAAUGGGCGAAAGCCUGAUCCAGCCAUGCCGCGUGUGUGAAGAAGGUCUUCGGAUUGUAAAGCACUUUAAGUUGGGAGGAAGGGUUGUAGAUUAAUACUCUGCAAUUUUGACGUUACCGACAGAAUAAGCACCGGCUAACUCUGUGCCAGCAGCCGCAGUAACAC
rnacentral:rRNA from 1 species